rnacentral:rRNA from 1 species
UACGUAGGCAGCGAGCGUUGUUCGGAGUUACUGGGCGUAAAGGGUGUGUAGGCGGUUCUUUAAGUUUGGUGUGAAAUCUCCCGGCUCAACCGGGAGGGUGCGCCGAAUACUGAGGGACUAGAGUACGGGAGAGGAAAGUGGAAUUCCUGGUGUAGCGGUGAAAUGCGUAGAUAUCAGGAGGAACACCGGUGGUGUAGACGGCUUUCUGGACCGUAACUGACGCUGAGACGCGAAAGCGUGGGUAGCAAACAGG